CGCCGCCGCGACUUCCAGCCCCGCCCCUCCAGGCUGCGCCAGUGCGCCUCGUGAGCUCGCUCUCCUCGCCGCCGGCCGCCGCGCCGCGUCUCUUCAGAUCAAGUGAUACGCCACUAUUUCGCGCGUACGCAUCGAGUGACACACACCACACUUGAAUUAGCUAGGAUCGAUCAUUAGUACUACUGGAAUAGUUCCAGAUCAUGCAAAGCUGGCUCGUAAUCAGUUGAUGGAUAGUGGAUACUCCACUCUGCAAUCUGAAUCUGUACUCCUUUGUGCUUUUUUUGUCAGAGGAAUGAAUGGAUCAGUUUAAUUAGUUUGAUUCACUAAAAAUCCUUGUGCAGUUGUGCGAAUUCAGUUUUACUGAUGCAAGAACAAGCAAGAUGAAUUUUCAGUUGGUUCCUUUCUUGGUUAAUUAUCCCUCACAAAACUUGUUCUUUUUCUUUAAUUAAUGAUGGGUUGUUUAGCUCCGUGGACGUGCAUGUUCACAGGUCGGCCGUGAAGCUUUGUCUGAAAGCAAUGCUCUUUAUGUGUGCGUGUCAGCGUCUGUGGCUGUGAGCUUACUAUUCUUUUUCCGUGAAGUUUCGAGAUGAUUUUGCCCCUCUUAAAUUAAUCAAUAAAUUAGUAUCGCUAAACCUUCUCCUUUACCUACGCGGCUAAGCUUCCCUGCCUUCUUGUUACCGUUAAUUAAUUAAUUUCCUUUGAAAUUGUAUUGGGGUCUUGAAGUUUUUUAAGUUCCUCUGCAACUACUCUGAUCCUUCUGCGCGAAAAGAGAGACCAUGAAUAAGAGCAAGCUCAACAGUAU
rnacentral:lncRNA from 1 species